rnacentral:rRNA from 1 species
AUGACGGCCGCCGCCGUCGCCGGAGCGGACGACGAGAGGAAAGCGCAGGCCCUCGUGCGGGAUGACGCGCCCAAGCUGCUCGCCGCUCUCAAGGAAAUGAAGGACGGGCUCGACCUCGUCAGGUCCAAGGUCGAGUCGCUCACCCGCAAGGUUAGGAAAAACCAGCUGCCGACAGGCGAUGGCAUUGGGUACCUGGAGGCCAAGCACCAUCUGCUGCUGAGCUACUGCCAGGACCUCGUCUACUACCUGCUACGCAAGGCCAAGGGACUGUCCGUCGAUGGCCACCCCGUCGUGCGCAGCCUUGUUGAGAUCAGGCUGUUUCUUGAGAAGAUUCGCCCAAUAGACAAGAAGAUGGAGUACCAGAUCCAGAAGCUCACCAAUGCUGCAGAUGGUGCGACUGCCCAGGAUAAGGCGCCAGACGCUGAGGUCAAUGUCAAGGGCAGGCAGCAAGGCGAGGAUGACCUGUUGGGGUACCGGCCAAACCCGGAUAUGAUGGAUCCCAAAAUUGCUCCUGAAGGACAGGGCAAAGAUGGUAUCUACGUUCCUCCGAGAAUUGGGCCAGCUGCCAUGGAUGAUGGUCAUAGUAAAGACGCUAUAAGGAAAGAGAAAAGAUUAUUGCGUAUGGCAACAGAGAAUCCUUACUUUAAGGAGAUGAUUGAUGAUGCCGCGGAUAGACCUGAAGAGUGGAAGGAAACAGCGGGUGACGAAAGUAAAGAAUUUAUGGCCUACAUGCGGCAGAGAGAGAAGCAAGAGAAGGCGGAAGAGGAGCUGUUCACCCGAGCUCCCGUAACCAAACGUGAAAAGUACAUGGAGAAGCAGAUGAAAAAGCAGCUUCAUGGGUUACAAGGCCUGACCGACGGAUUCGACCUUGGGAUGAACACGCUGCUCGAUGGCGAGAAGGAAGACGACGACGGUGGUUCCAGUGAGCCGCGUAGACAGAGCGCGGGGCGGAGAAAACACCAGAAAGGUGGCAAGAGGAAGCGGCAUUAA